rnacentral:rRNA from 1 species
UACGGAGGGGGCAAGCGUUAUCCGGAUUCACUGGGCUUAAAGGGUGCGUAGGCGGUCUGUUAAGUCAGCGGUGAAAGCCUGGAGCUCAACUCCAGAAUUGCCAUUGAUACUGACGGACUUGAAUCAAGUUGAGGUGGAUGGAAUAUUACAUGUAGCGGUGAAAUGCUUAGAUAUGUAAUAGAACACCAAUUGCGAAGGCAGUUCACUGAGCUUGCAUUGACACUGAGGCACGAAAGCGUGGGGAUCAAACAGG